rnacentral:rRNA from 1 species
GACGUAGGGUGCGAGCGUUGUCCGGAUUUAUUGGGCGUAAAGCGCGUGUAGGCGGCCAGAUAGGUCUGCUGUGAAAACUCGAGGCUCAACCUCGAGCUGUCGGCGGAAACCAUUUGGCUAGAGUCCGGAAGAGGAGAGUGGAAUUCCCGGUGUAGCGGUGAAAUGCGCAGAUAUCGGGAAGAACACCUGUGGCGAAGGCGGCUCUCUGGGACGGUACUGACGCUGAGACGCGAAAGCGUGGGGAGCGAACAGG